ensembl:lncRNA
AAUACGAAAAAUGUUAUUUAGCCCCCUUUUUUUUUUCAGAGUGUCACACUAAGUGGUAGGCUGGCCCUCUGCCAAGGCUUGAUGCAUCAAGGGUCAGGGUGGCUGUAGAGUGGCACUCAUUUUUUAUGCUGAGCCUCCGUAAUUUGAUUGUUAAAGCUGGGGCAGCAAGUGUUAUGGAUCUUGAGAGCAGAUGGACCUGGGCGAGCUACAGCAUUUUGGGUGAGUAGAGAAUGAUGGCUGGAGGUUUUGAAGCUCCUGUGCCUCAAAAAGUGAAGAGAACAACUCCCUGGUCACCAUGCUCUGGGAUUACUGGGACAACUGUCCCGACCCUGCAGAGAUCUCCAUUGCAGAGGGCUGACCACCCCUCCCAACCCACGUCAGCUGAGGGCUGAGACCUGCACAGGUCCCCACAUCCCACAGGUACUGCCCUGGUUCCCCCAGAUGGCCACUGUUAAUGACUCUGUUGUGCAGCCACCAUUACCUGAUAGCACACUGUCCUCCCAAUAAUUUAAUUUGCUUGAUUACUGCUCCUAACAGGCAGACAGAAAAGUCUAUGACUCUUUGGUUAAGCUGGUAAUGAUGCCAUUGCAUGUGCUAAUUAACAUUUGGGUGUCCUUUGUAAAUGCUCUACAUGAAUUCUGAGUUUGAAUCUCAGCAUCAUUAGAAAGAACAUUGCUCUCAUCCGUGAGCUGCUUCCAUGCUGGUUUUGUCAUUGGGAUUCAGGAUCUUUCCUGUGGACUACUUGUUAGCAUGUUGUGUUUGGAUGUGUACAUUUCUCCCUGCUUAAUUUUUCUUCUUUCAGUCCUUCAGCCACUCUGCAGUCCUGGAAUCUAUUGGCACUUUCACACAGGGACACAUGAAGGGGAUGAGUGGUGACUGCAUGAAGAUACUUCUAAUCCGAUUUAGAAGCAACAACAAGGCUGGAGAAGAGCUCAGGAGGUCUUUCAGUAUAAGUUCCCUGGCAGAGGAAAUACAAAGUGCUUUUCUCACUUUGCACCGGUGAUAACCACUGCCAACAGAGGCCCAGAGACAGGACUGGAGACCACAUUGGAAGGACAACCCUGCAAAUUUCUGGGGGAUGAGCAGUCCUGCAUCUCAUAAGUGGUAUUCCCCAGGGGUUCAUCUUGGGACCGGUACUCUUUAAUAUCUUUAUCAACAACAUAGACAGUGGGAUGGAGCGCACCCUCAGCAGUUUGCUGAUGACACCGAGCUGAGUGGUGCAGUUCAUACAACAGAAGGAAGGGACGCCAUCCAGAGGGCACUGCACAGGCUCAGAAAGUGGGCACGUGAGAACUGAAUGAAGUUUAACAAGGCCAAGUGAAAGGUGCUGCACAUGGGUCAGGGCAGUCCCAGACAUCUGGACAGAACGGAAAAGAACUCCAAAGCAAUCCUUUCCUCAGAGGGCGGUGAGGCGCUGGCACUGCUGCCCAGAGAGCUGUGGGUGCCCCAUCCCUGCAGGCACUCAAGGCCAGGUGGGAUGGGGCCCUGGGCAGCCUGAGCUGGUGGGGGGCAGCCCUGCCCAUGGCCAGGGAUUGGGAAUGGGUCAUCUUUAUUGUCCCCUCCAACCUGAGCCAGCCUAUGAUUCUAUGAGACUACAAUUUGCUCAUCCUACUGCUGUGGGUUGUUGGGGUCUUACCACGGGCUGCAGCAUUCAAUGCCAAGAACAGCUUUUAACAAAUUUAAGUUGAAUUCCAUUAAAUUAAAAAUACAUAAAGC